rnacentral:lncRNA from 10 species
UUCAGGAGGCCAGAGACAUAGUCUCAAAAUAUGUAUUGUCCAGAUAGGGUCUGAUGGUAUAACUACCCAGAAAUCUUUUUGGAACAACAAAUGCUGCUUCUUAAGCUCUGCUGCUUGCUGAGUGGCCACCUAUGGAUGACAAAUUACAGUAGGAAUCCUAGGCAAGAGUGUCUGAGAUAAGUAAAGAUUUCUCUCAAAGGAAAACAUUGUAUACAGGCAUGAAAUCUCCAGCUCGCCCAGAUUAAAGCUCUGUGCCCACGUCAUCACCACUGUCUCCUCUCUCCCUACCCACACUUCCCAUCCAAACUGACCUGAUCAAUUUAAUGAUUACCUAGAAGAUCUUCUAGUUUUCCCAUACUCACUUCUUUUUCUUCAGCCUAUUCUAAUUUAUGGCAUUUCCUGUUAUGGUCUUCAGUGGGUUUUUGUUUCCAAAUAUUUACAAAUUAAAUGUAGUUUUAUGUAUAUAUAUGUGUUUCUUACCAUUUGAUGCUGCAUGUCCUACUGAGGUAUUUCUUAGAGAGUGAGGAAGUAGGCCAUUGAUUUCAAUAUCAAGUUCAAAUGUGUGAAAAUUCCUAAACAAUUGCUAGUCAGCCUUUGAAAAUUUCAGGAGUUUCUUUGCAACUAACAGUCCUGAAACAAAAAUUUAAUUAUCUCUUGCAAAUAUUAUUUUAACCAGGUGCUCUUAUACAUUGCCGAUUGUUUUGAAGUACCAUAAAUUCAUUAUUUUUCAUCCAUUCAAUUUCUUACUUUGUGAGUACUAGUUUAUUGUUUUCUUUGGAUUACACCUGUAACAAGUUUAUAAUUAUCUUCAAAUUUAUCUGAGUUUAUUGUCCUACAUAUAAAAUAGUCACAUGUGUGUAUUUAUAUAUAAUAGUGUUUUGUUUCUACAGAUGAAAAUAUAAGACAUAAAUGUAAGGCUACACACAUGUACAUACAGUGUGAGAUUUAAUAUAUAUAACAAAUAUUUUAUGCUAUUUAACAUGAGAAAUAUGGACUAUCUCUUAGUAGGUCAAAAUGAUAUGACAAUUACCUUUUUCUUUUCUUUUUUUUUUUCUUUUGAGACAGAGUCUCACUUUAUCACCCAGACUGGAGUGCAGUGUUGUGAUCAGUGCUCACUGCAGCUUCGACCUCCCAGGUUUGAGCAAUCCUUCCACCCCAGCCUCCUAAGUAGCUGGGACAAC